GGCGUGCUUAACACAUGCAAGUCGAACGAUGAAAUGGAGCUUGCUCCAUGGAUUAGUGGCGAACGGGUGAGUAACACGUGAAUAACCUGCCCUUAAUUUUGGAAUAACCCAGGGAAACCUGGGCUAAUACCGGAUAAGUAAACCUGUGGCAUCACAUGGUUUUGGAAAGUUUUUCGAUUAAGGAUGGAUUCGCGGCCUAUCAGCUUGUUGGUGAGGUAAUGGCUCACCAAGGCGACGACGGGUAGCCGGCCUGAGAGGGUGAACGGCCACACUGGGACUGAGACACGGUCCAUACUCCUACGGGAGGCAGCAGUUAAGGAUCUUGCUCAAUGGGCGCAAGCCUGAAGCAGCGACGCCGCGUGAACGAAGAAGGUCUUCGGAUUGUAAAGUUCAGUAAGCAGGGAAAAAUAAGCAGCAAUGUGAUGAUGGUACCUGCCUAAAGCACCGGCUAACUACGUGCCAGCAGCCGCGGUAA
rnacentral:rRNA from 1 species